rnacentral:misc_RNA from 1 species
UUCUCUCUCUGUCAAAACCCAUGGAGACGUACCAGAAUCAGUUGAACCAAAUUCCAAACCCAGACCAAUCAAGAAUCAAUGUCCAUAAUUGUAAGUUUCUUGAACGGAGCUGAAACUCCUUAGGGUCACUCGGAAAAGACUUAAAUGCCUUUCAUUAGAAACCAACCAGUCAACAUUUUCUCACAUAUGACGAGGAGUUGAUGCAUUCAAAGAGUUGGGAACAAAGAGA